GAUGAACGCUGGCGGCGUGCCUAAUACAUGCAAGUCGAGCGAACAGAUAAGGAGCUUGCUCCUUUGACGUUAGCGGCGGACGGGUGAGUAACACGUGGGUAACCUACCUAUAAGACUGGAAUAACUCCGGGAAACCGGGGCUAAUGCCGGAUAACAUUUAGAACCGCAUGGUUCUAAAGUGAAAGAUGGUUUUGCUAUCACUUAUAGAUGGACCCGCGCCGUAUUAGCUAGUUGGUAAGGUAACGGCUUACCAAGGCAACGAUACGUAGCCGACCUGAGAGGGUGAUCGGCCACACUGGAACUGAGACACGGUCCAGACUCCUACGGGAGGCAGCAGUAGGGAAUCUUCCGCAAUGGGCGAAAGCCUGACGGAGCAACGCCGCGUGAGUGAUGAAGGCCUUCGGAUCGUAAAACUCUGUUAUUAGGGAAGAACAAAUGUGUAAGUAACUGUGCACGUCUUGACGGUACCUAAUCAGAAAGCCACGGCUAACUACGUG
rnacentral:rRNA from 1 species